AACGAACGCUGGCGGCGUGGAUAAGACAUGCAAGUCGAACGGGACAGACCGAGUAGCAAUAUUUGGAAUGUUCAGUGGCGAACGGGUGCGUAACACGUGGAUAACAUUCCGGAAAGCGGGGAAUAGCCCAGGGAAACUUGGAUUAAUACCGCAUGUGGCCGCAAGGCUAAAGACGGGGACCGCAAGGACUGUCACUUUCCGAUUGGUCCGCGGCCUAUCAGCUAGUUGGCGGGGUAAUGGCCCACCAAGGCUACGACGGGUAGCUGGUCUUAGAGGACGACCAGCCACACUGGACCUGAGACACGGUCCAGACACCUACGGGUGGCAGCAGUCGAGAAUCUUUCACAAUGGGGGCAACCCUGAUGGAGCGAAGCCGCGUGAAGGAUAAGGUCUUCGGAUUGUGAACUCCUGUCAUGCGAGAACAAGGUACUCAGGCUAAUAACCUGAUUGUUUGAUGGUACCGCAAGAGGCAGAGACGGCUAACUCUGUUCCAGCCGCCGCAGUAACAC
rnacentral:rRNA from 1 species